UUUCUAUUCAAAGUUUUAUUUUGCAAAAAGACAUCUCCCUGCUCUCUCUCUCUCUCUCUCUCUCUCUCUCUCUCUCUCUCUCUCCGCCCUAACCCCAAACUCCAUGAAUGGCGAUCAAAGCUCGCCCCAAACCCUGCUGCUCGCCCCGAUCCCUCUUCUCUAAGUUUUGGUCAUCGACGCAACACACCACCCCAAUCCCAGCUCUCCUCCUGCUCUUGUUGUCUUCUCCGUUCGGGCCAAGCUCAGCCCCUAACAUUGUUGUUUCCGCUCAGGCCAAGCUCGCACAAAAUAACCCUAUAUAGUGAGGGUUUGUCAAUUUGGGCCCCAACCGAAUGCGAGUCGAGGGCUCGAAGCUGAAUUCUUAACAUAGUAAUUUGUCAUUGAUAUUCCUGGAAAUGAUGUGAGUCUGUAGUGAAUGUAAUGGAAAGGUCGUUCUUAUCGUCAAUGUUGCUUCAAAAUGUGGUUUAACACAGUCAAACUACAAGGAGCUGUAUGUUCUUUAUGAAAGUACAAAGUCUAAUGCCAAAUUGCCAAUGUUUAUUAUUUGUUUUAGUUUAAUGAAAAGUACAAAGACAAAGGCAAAGAGAAAGCAAUCUACAGGGGUAAUAUUAGGAGAUGAUGUUUUGAAUUUGGUGAUUGAGGCAAGUGUGGAUCACUCUCUUGUUAUGGCUCUUGUGACUGUAUAUGGUUUAAUGCAGAGAAAGAUGUAAAUAACGACUACUGCAAUACAAUUUUUCAUUAGAUUUUCUUUUUCUUUUUUCUUUUUUGGGGGUGGGAAUUUGAACAAUUUUGUCCCCAGAUUAUAUAUUGAUGUGUAUGUUCAAAAUCUAAAGGUAAAGGGAAUUUGUGUAAAUUGCCACAAUGUUUGACAGUUAAGUUAUUAUUAGAUUAUACUACUUUCAUGUAUGUGGCCAACAAAUUAAAUUUAAACAAGUUAGAAACCAUUAAUUUCCA